ensembl:lncRNA
AUUUGAGCAAAUCCUCACUUGCUGCAGCUGAGGACCUUGCUGCUCUGCUGGUAUUACUGAGCUUUCUGUUGUGUUAUCUGAUGUGAUAAAUAGUCCUGUGAAAAUUACUUUUCAACAGAUUAUCAUAGAACUAAUGCAAUUUCUCCUUAUCUUCAGUCUUUCUGCAGUGGGGAGAACCUGAAUCAGAUUUGUGUCAGGUUCAUAAAUGAGGUUAAAGGAACGGUGACACACUGAAGCAGGGAAUAGGAUGGAUGUCUGGGAUUAGUGUGUGUAAUUUACUUUGCUCUGGAAGUAAUAAAAAGAAGACUGACAUUUAUGUAUUAUUAUUAUUAUGUAUUAUUGUUAUUAUGUAGAAAUUAUGUAGAUAAAACCUGCGUCCUUGUGAACAGUAGUAUUACUAAAUUCAUAUGGCUUUUGUAUGGUAAAAGGCUCCCCUUAAUAUGUUGGCUUAGUGUCAACAGUGCAGUAGGUAAACCCUUAUGUCUGUGAUUUGGGCUUUGUAUGAGGAUGUAACAGUGCCACACUGCAGAAACUACCACAUAUUUUUGUUGCAGUGUAUUCCUGAGAGGUCUUUAUUUAUGUGAGUGUACAGAGGCUGUGUGUGAUGAAGGGGCAGGUGAUAUGGAAGUACGUGUGAAGAAUCUGAAACACAUGAGGUGUCUUCAAGAAAACCUUUUCAAGAUUGGCUGCUGUUGAGAGGUGUUUAUUUGGGUGAUAUGUCUACAGUGAUGUAAAUUGAAGAUAAGAUGUUGGAGUCCACCAUGCCUGCCUCUCUGGUUUAAACUAUUUCAAACUAUAGGUGUCUACCUCCACCUUGUGGCGGCUUGUCUGAACUUCAGCAGCAGGUGGAGGUGAAUGAGCUGUGGUUUUGUAAUAGUACUUGGGCUAAUGAUUUCGUGGUAAAGGAAGAAAGGAUUUGCUUCUAAAUUUACUAUAUACAUAAUUUACUGUGUUUGGGGCUAAUUCAGGCUUCUAAUAAUUGCUUCAACAGAAUAGUUCUUUAAAAUCUUAACAGUAUUUAGUCAUCUUGUUAUUUGGAGACAGAUACAAUCAAGGAAUAGUAUUUUUGCAGAAAAUACUAGAAAACCCCAUUUGUGUGAAUUUCUGUUCGGUGCUAGGCAUAUGUAUGAGAAUACAAACCUUGCAGCAGUUAUAACUUGAUUGUGGAUGUCUAGACCAGAGAUAGGACUGCAAGAAAGUGCUGCUUAAGUGUGCUUAAAAUAAGUAAACUGUUAAAUAAGUGAAAACGAACUAAUUUGGGUUGUGAGUAGCUCAGAAUCAGGAGAGGCUUUACUCAAUUUCAGACUGCAUGUGAGAAGGCACUGGAAUAAGCACUGGAAUGAUUUAUGAAAACAUCAGUCCUGUGGCAACUUCGUGGUGAUGCUGCUAUGGUGCUUUUUUAAUUGUCUGGAUGAGUGUAAGAAGUGUUCUUCUAAUGAAGUACAAGUCACAGUGAGUAUUAAGGUGCAAGCAGUACUGACUGCCAAAUACCUCUUGAUGCUCAUGAAUGAGGGUUCAGCCUUCCAGGAGGAAUAAAAAAAAGCUGUAUAUUAAAUAACGAGCUGGAAAUUGUCAACAACUUGAUGGAAAGUUGGUGAAUUUACCUUUUGAAGCGACUGCAUAAGUAACAGGUAAUAUAAGGAGCUUAUUGGUAGUAGGAGCAGGUGCGGUGAAAGUGACCCCAAAAACUUGGGGCUGCGCAGACAAAGCACUAUUUUGUCAGUCCUUUUGUUCUUAAAGGUAGAUACUCUCUUGAUUAGAAACAGCAUAGAAAAGUUGAGAAUUGCUUUGUACAGUUUGUUUUAUUUUGCUCAGUUAUUUACUAUAUCCUAUUUCAAACACUAAAUACCUUUUUUUUUUUUUGAAGAUCAAUGCCGACCUCUGUGGUGUUAAGAGGGCAACAGUGAAUACCUGAAGCAAGGAUAACCUGACAAAUGGGUAUACAUAUAUAUAACGUAGUGUGGGUUAUCCAUUUCAUUUUAAUAGGUUUUUUGUUUUGAAACUUAAAUAUCUUCUAGAUUGGUUAUCAGAUAAAGUGCUGUAGCAGAGUAUUUUAAUGGAUUUUAAUUUUUUUUGAGUGCUAGUUCACCAAAUCACCAAAUGGUUCUUAUUCCUUUGCCAAAACUGCUGGCAAUUAAGCAUGGAGCUGGCUUUGAAGAGUCAUGGUUGCAACAUUGGUUGUCAUGAUGUAAAACACUGAAAUGAUCUCAUUAAGUUGUUUAGAUCUUUAAUAUGUUAAUAGCAUACAUUGUUAACUUAACUACUGUCAGUUUCCAAUCUAAUGCUCAGAAAUAUUUAACAAUCCUACAGAGCUCAAUCCUUGCUUCCAUGAAGUUUUGAGUAUGGUUAAGGAUUGUUGAUGCUGAUGGCUUUGGUCUUAACUAUCAAACUAUAAUGAAAACUCCCUCUUCAGAAGCAAGCAAGCAGAAAAAGGACUGCUGCAAUAUGAUUCACUUUUCUUCUGCGUGUCUCUUAGCUGGCAAGUACUUUGACUUACUGAGCUUUCCCGGUAAGCAGCCUCAGCUCUUUCUGAAGUGAACAAAUUAGAUUUAUUAACCUUCUGGGAUUGAUCCCCAGAAGCACCGCCAGGGAUGAGAGUGUACUGCUGGCUUGAGUGAAGGCCUGCAAUGUUUUCUAAGCAUGCAGCAUAAUAGCAUGUAGGAUGAUGUUUCAG